AGCCAUCAACCCCUCCCGUUUAGUGCGGGCUGCGUGUUGGAACUGGGGGCCUGCUGCCGUGAGGCCGCUCCCCUAAAAUGCAUCGGUUGGGCCUGUGGGUCAAACUCGACUGGGCGUUGUACGAACCUCGCUCUGACUGAGUCCUGCUGUGCCUCCCCUGGACCUGCCUUUUGGAGUGGCGGUCAAACUUUAUGAA
rnacentral:misc_RNA from 1 species